rnacentral:rRNA from 1 species
UACAUGGGGUGCAAACGUUGCUCGGAAUUCUUGGGCGUAAAGCGCGCGUAGGCGGUUACUCCAGUCGGAUGUGAAAGCCCUCGGCUUAACUGAGGAAGUGCACCCGAAACUGAGUAGCUAGAGUACCAAAGAGGGUCGCGGAAUUCCCGGUGUAGAGGUGAAAUUCGUAGAUAUCGGGAGGAACACCGGUGGCGAAGGCGGCGACCUGGGUGGAUACUGACGCUGAGGCGCGAAAGCGUGGGGAGCAAACAGG